rnacentral:tRNA from 1 species
AUUUAUAUAGUUUAAUUAAAACCCCUUAUUUUCAAUAAGGCAAUAAGAUUCAUUCUUUAUAAAUA